rnacentral:lncRNA from 1 species
CCGAAUUUUUCUUCACAAGCGAUGAAGCAUGCUCUUACCCAAACUCAGCUUGAAAAGAGUCAGCUGCUCCAAAAUGCUCUGAGCUCACACCACAUUACCAGCUGGUCCUUAGCUAUAACAUUAGAGGAUAAUAAUGCUGGUUACAUGCAUACCUGUUGGCCUCCAGAACACAAUCACGCAACCUUGAUCAGUGGCUAACCUACGAAAAUGAGAAAUCAAACCGGAACGGGAUGAAUGAAGAACACAAUGCGCGCACAGAUAUGGCAACUGUUGGCUGACAGAGUUAUUUUCCUUUGAUUAUUAGUUUGAAUAAAUUAAUCAACUUCUAACUAGUGUAAUGUCCUGGCUAUUAAUACCAUAGCUAAUACACAUAACACACUUAAACAAAACCCCUAAAACAUGGAUACAUUAAUUAUGCCUUCAAUCACUAGUACAGGGAAGGGCUUUAGCCCCGGGCCGUAAGGGCCUUUAGUCCCGGCUACGGAGCCGGGGCUAAGUUUUCGGGACUAAAUGUCCCACCUUUAGUCCCGCUUCCGAGGACCGGGACUAAAGGUCCACCUUUAGUCCCGGUUGGUAACAGCAACCGAGACUAAAAGGUGCGCCAGGGGUGUGCCACCUGGCCUCCACUUUUAGUCCCGGUUGUUGCUAGCAGCCAGGACUAAAGACUUUUUUCUUUUUUCUUUUUCUUUUCAUUUGGUUUUCCAUUUAGGGUUUACAAUUAUGUUAUUGUUAUUUUCGAAUGCGUAUUGUUUGCUGUUGUUUAUGGAACGCGCACCUAUAAUUUAUAUAAUUUAAAGCAUUACAUAUAAAUAUACUAUAAAACACUACAUAUAUAUAAUAUGUAUCUAUAGGUCCAUAAUAUAAUAUUUACACAUAUGCUUCACGGACAAAGUAUUUACAACACAAUUUAUCUCCGCCACUCAAGCAUCGUACAAAUGAUCAUCGUUAUUUGGUUUCAUUGGCUCCUGAGGGUUGAAGUAGCACUCGCCACCGGGAUUCAGGACUUGGUCGUUAAGAAAUCCUACGAUUGUCUCCUGAAUUCCUUUUAGGCGCACCGCAUCCAACACCUGCUCCUUCAGCCACAUCUCCUUUAAUAGAUAUUAAAGAAAAAAAGUUAGAGGUAUGAAUAGGAUUUAUUAAAUAGCCACAAAUAAUUGAAAUAAACUUAUUAUAUAUACAUGUUACAUACUUUUAGGUGCUCAAGAUUAGUUCUUUUGGCAUAGACCGUCAUAAACUCGCACACAUAGUAGCUACACAAAUUGUUGCCCGGUGUCUGCCGUAGAACCCACUGAAGUAAGAUGGGCUUUGAAAGUGCUGCAUUCAACUCUGGACGGUGUUUCUGCACGAACCCAGCCCAAACCCUAGCAACAAAACGAUCAUUAUUAAUUAUCUAUUACCAAGUUAAAAGAGCAUAAUUUAAUAUAUAGAGAUCGAAGUUACCCUUGGAUAAUAUCUAUCAUUUCUUGGUAAUCGUCCUGUGGUUUUCUCAACGAGUCAUAGAUUACAAUUGACAUUGCCAGAGAUCAAUGACAAUUAGUAUCCAAUGAAAGCUGC